rnacentral:lncRNA from 1 species
UGGGAGGACUGGGACAGGCACCGGGGGGGGGACCAAGACCAGGACAGGGACAAGGGACAUGCGGGGGGGGGGGCAGGAGAAGGGACACAGGGGUGUGCAGGGGGACAGAGACCAGGACGUGGGGGGGGACCAGGUCCGGGACAAGGCACUUGGGAGCACAGGGAGCAGCACAGGGGCAGGGACUGGAGCCGGAAGGAGGGACACGGCACUGGGAUGGGGGGAACAGGGACCAGGACAGGGGAUGGGGGCAGGUCUGGGAGCGGGACAGCACCUCCGUGGACACGGGGACCCCCAGCCAGGAGGAGCGUCCCAGCGGGGGCAGCUCGGCUCAUCCCCUUCCCUCGGGGACGUAUUUCUGCCGGGGCUUCCCGCGGGGGAGCGAAGGGUUAAACCCCCCCUCGGCAGCCCCCCGCUUUCGGGAGGAAAAAGCCGUGCCAGCGUCCGUCUUUCGGCACCGGGAUCAGACCCAAAUCGCUAAUUAGCCGCCGCCGCCCCGACAAGCAGGAGGGCGUCACGCGGGUGYGGCGAGGCCGCGACUCCCGGCGGCGGAUCCGUGCCGAGCCUCGGCCGGCAGCGGUGACAGUGCCGGAGGGACCUCGCUGGGGGCCGCGCGGAGCAAAGCCCGGGGGGGGCAGCGGGAGGCUGCGGGCGCCCAGCCGUCCUCGGCGUCCCCCGUCCAGAAAGAAGCGGAGGUGGAGGAAGCGAUGAGUCCCGGCGCGGCCGUGACCCCUGGCGCUCCUGGGUUGCUAAUCCCUCCAUGUCUCGCRGCACUUCCAGAAUAGCUCCGAUGCCCUCGGCACCGCCGGGGACGGAGCUGCUCGGGGACGGUCCCCGUGCCUGCGGUUUGCGCCGCGGCUGGCGACGCUCGGGGAUGUUUCCCAGGCAGUGCGGCCGGUCCGAAGCGAUGCGCUCGGCAUCAGCCCCCGGGGUGAUGCCGCAGGGGCUCCGAAGGGAUCGGGGUUUAUUUGCRCCCAUAGCAGGGUGGGGGGGGACCCGGUGCCGCUCUCGGCGCGCGGUGACCUGCUCUCUCUGCCCCGGCCAGGCGUGAAGGAGGAGGCGGUGAAGGAGGAGCCGGUGGAGGUGAAGACCGAACCGUACCACGCGCCCACCUCGGAGAGCGGCCAUGCGCGGGCGGCUCCGGAACGACGGCUGCCGCGCGGCAAUGCCCCCGCUCCCGGCGAGCUGCGCGAAGGCUGGAGCCGGAGCCCUCCGCACCCCUCGCAACCCGAACUCUCCGGCGGCGGCGGCGAGCCGCGAGCCGGGUGGCGCCGGCACCGUGCCGCUCUCGGAGCGGGGACCCGAAAGCGCCCGCCUCAGCCUAGCCGAAAAGCGCAUCAUCCAGUCCAACGAGCAGCUGGUGCAGGAGGUGCGAGCUUUCCGGCGCGAGUACGCCGAGAGCCGCCGCGAGACGGCCUCCGUCCUGCGCAUCAUCGCCGAGGCGCUGAGCGGCGUCAGCAGCAGCCUGGCCCAAAUCCGCGAUCUCUACCUCCGCGAGCAGGCGGCCCCCAAGCCCUGAGCCGUCCCGCAGCUGGCUGUGGGGUUGGGGGGUGGGGGGGGGGCUGCUCCGGCCUCGCCGGGACACACGGACGCAGGACGGCGCGCGCCCGCUCGGCUCGGCGCGCGGGAAUCGGGGCCAGCUUUUUCCCGCGCCCGGUUUUCUUUUAGUCCUUCCCCCCCCCACACCCCGUAAUAAAACUCUGAACUGGCCGCGGGGUUUCCCCCGU